UACGUAGGGGGCUAGCGUUGUCCGGAUUUAUUGGGCGUAAAGAGCGUGUAGGCGGCCAGGUAGGUCUGCUGUGAAAACUCGAGGCUCAACCUCGAGACGCCGGUUGAAACCAUCUGGCUAGAGUCCGGAAGAGGAGAGUGGAAUUCCUGGUGUAGCGGUGAAAUGCGCAGAUAUCAGGAAGAACACCCGUGGCUAAGGCGGCUCUCUAGUACGGUACUGACGCUGAGACGCGAAAGCCAGGGGAGCAAACGGG
rnacentral:rRNA from 1 species